GUAUGUGGUGACAUACACAAUCAUCGCUAUCGGCCUCCUGUUGACCCUCGUGGCCAUCUAUGCUCUGUAUUCUAUGGUGAGAAGAGAUCAUGUUGCUCCCAUCUACGUCAUCAACCUUCUCAUUACGACCUGAUUCAGCUCUGCUGCAUGAUCGUUCAGGUGGUACCACUGUGGAUGGAAGAUAUCUGAGAUCUUCUAUAUAUUUACUCUCUGCUCUGUUUGCCAGUAUUGGCUUCAUGGUCUGCAUCUCCCUGGAAAGGUAUUUGGUCAUCGCCCACCCGCUGUGGUACCGCUUCAGACGAACCAUCAGGAGCUCUGUGGUGGUCUGUGUCCUGGUCUGGGUCCUUUUUCUUGUAUAUGGUGUCCUUUACUAUUUUGUUGAUUAUCUGACCACAUACAUAAUCCUCACCGUCCUCCUCCUCCUUCC